CGCGAAUGCUCUAGAUUAGACGUUGAUCAUGGCUCAGAUUGAACGCUGGCGUGCAAGCCUAACACAUGCAAGUCGAGCGGUAACACAGGGAGCUUGCUCCUGGGUGACGAGCGGCGGACGGGUGAGUAAUGUCUGGGAAACUGCCUGAUGGAGUGGGGAUAACUACUGGAAACGGUAGCUAAUACCGCAUAACGUCUUCGGACCAAAGUGGGGGACCUUCGGGCCUCAUGCCAUCAGAUGUGCCCAGAUGGGAUUAGCUAGUAGGUGGGGUAACGGCUCACCUAGGCGACGAUCCCUAGCUGGUCUGGGAGGAUGACCAGACCACACUGGAACUGAGACACGGUCCAGACUCCUACGGGAGGCAGCAGUGGGGAAUAUUGCACAAUGGGCGCAAGCCUGAUGCAGCCAUGCCGCGUGUAUGAAGAAGGCCCUACGGGUUGUAAAGUACUUUCAGCGAGGAGGAAGGCAAUAAGGUUAAUAACCUUAGUGAUUGACGUUACUCGCAGAAGAAGCACCGGCUAACUCCGUGCCAGCAGCCGCGGUAAUACGGAGGGUGCAAGCGUUAAUCGGAAUUACUGGGCGUAAAGCGCACGCAGGCGGUCUGUCAAGUCGGAUGUGAAAUCCCCNGGGCUCCACCUGGG
rnacentral:rRNA from 1 species